rnacentral:lncRNA from 1 species
GGUGCUCUCAGAUCACUCAUUUAUCUUUUAUAUAUCUCGCUGAGGCUGUUUUAAUUUGCAAAAAUUCUCAAGCAUACUUACCUUGUAUUUAUUGCCUGAUCAAAACGGGAUCCGAGGAGAGGAAUGUCAUACUCUUAGAUCAAAGACUUUGAAAAUUAAAAACUUGUCAACUCUUGCUGGCAUAUUGCUUUAUCAGAGGGACCAUAGGCUAUCAUUUUAUUUUUAUCAUAUUUUUAUCAUCUCAUUUUUUCUUUUCAGGUCUGCGAGGUUGUCGAGCACUUGCACCUUUUUAUUUCCUCAAAAUUCAUAUUUUUGCAUAGCCCAUGCCUCUAACGCAAUAAUACUUCGGAAGAGGGAAAUCUUUCUGAAUAAAAAUGUCUUGAUCUUAGGAGUAUGAUAAAUCUCUCAACAAGGGUCUAACUCAUUUUGAACAAACUCAACAUAAAGCAGAUAGCUUAGAUUAUCAUAAUUAAUAUUUUUAGGUUUAGUAGGC